CACGUAGGGCGCGAGCGUUGUCCGGAAUUAUUGGGCGUAAAGAGCUCGUAGGCGGCCUGUUGCGUCCGCUGUGAAAGCCCGGGGCUUAACCCCGGGUCGGCAGUGGAUACGGGCAGGCUAGAGGUAGGUAGGGGAGAAUGGAAUUCCCGGUGUAGCGGUGAAAUGCGCAGAUAUCGGGAGGAACACCGGUGGCGAAGGCAGGUCUCUGGGCAUUAACUGACGCUGAGGAGCGAAAGCAUGGGGAGCGAACAGG
rnacentral:rRNA from 1 species